rnacentral:lncRNA from 1 species
AUGAUAUAAAUUAAACUCUUGCAUGUGUUUAGGGGGAGCUUAAUUGUAUAUCUAUGAACAUUCUUGCAUUUAUUAUUAUUUCCAUCCAUAAAACAUAAAAUUUAUUCAAAAGGUUUGUCAUCAUCAAAAAGGGGGAGAUUGCUGAGGCAAAAUCCAUUUUAGUAUUUUAAUGACAACAAACCUUAUGGAAUAAAUGUUAAGUUUUAUGAAUGGUGAUCUACUGAUGUUUGCACUUGAG